rnacentral:antisense_RNA from 1 species
GAUAGCCAAAAAUAACACUUGGAUUGAGAGUGGGAUUGGUGACUCCUCGCACGUUCUCAAUUGCUGGGUCGUAGAUGCCCCCAAAAAACAUCGCUUUCGCUACCAAUAGCAGCGCCCCCAAUCCCAACAAGAUUAGGUGAAUGCCAAGAAUAGUAGUCAUCUUGUUGCUGUCUUUCCA